rnacentral:rRNA from 1 species
CCUACGGGAGGCAGCAGUGGGGAAUAUUGCACAAUGGGGGAAACCCUGAUGCAGCGACGCCGCGUGAGUGAAGAAGUCUCUCGGUACGUAAAGCUCUAUCAGCAGGGAAGAAAAUGACGGUACCUGACUCAGAAGCCCCGGCUAACUACGUGCCAGCAUCCGCGGUCAUACGUAGUGGGCAAGCGGUAUCCGGAUUUACUGGGUGUAAAGGGGGCGUAGAGGGAAGCACAAGUCUGAGUUAAAAUCCCGGGGCUAAACCCCGUAGCUAAUUAGAAAAUUGUGAGCCAGAGUGUGAGAGAGGUAAGCGGAAUGCCUGGUGUAGCGGUGAAAUGCGUAGAUAUUAGGAAGAACACCGGUGGCGAAGGCGGCUUACUGG